rnacentral:rRNA from 1 species
AGAGUUUGAUCCUGGCUCAGAUCGAACGCUGGCGGCAGGCCUAACACAUGCAAGUCGAGCGGUAACAGGGGGAGCUUGCUCCCUGCUGACGAGCGGCGGACGGGUGAGUAAUGCAUAGGAAUCUGCCCGGUAGUGGGGGAUAACCUGGGGAAACCCAGGCUAAUACCGCAUACGUCCUACGGGAGAAAGCAGGGGACCUUCGGGCCUUGCGCUAUCGGAUGAGCCUAUGUCGGAUUAGCUGGUUGGUGAGGUAAUGGCUCACCAAGGCAACGAUCCGUAGCUGGUCUGAGAGGAUGAUCAGCCACAUCGGGACUGAGACACGGCCCGAACUCCUACGGGAGGCAGCAGUGGGGAAUAUUGGACAAUGGGGGCAACCCUGAUCCAGCCAUGCCGCGUGUGUGAAGAAGGCCUUCGGGUUGUAAAGCACUUUCAGUGAGGAAGAAGGCCUUGGGGCCAAUACCCUCGAGGAAGGACAUCACUCACAGAAGAAGCACCGGCUAACUCCGUGCCAGCAGCCGCGGUAAUACGGAGGGUGCGAGCGUUAAUCGGAAUUACUGGGCGUAAAGCGCGCGUAGGUGGCUUGAUAAGCCGGUUGUGAAAGCCCCGGGCUCAACCUGGGAACGGCAUCCGGAACUGUCAGGCUAGAGUGCAGGAGAGGAAGGUAGAAUUCCCGGUGUAGCGGUGAAAUGCGUAGAGAUCGGGAGGAAUACCAGUGGCGAAGGCGGCCUUCUGGACUGACACUGACACUGAGGUGCGAAAGCGUGGGUAGCAAACAGGAUUAGAUACCCUGGUAGUCCACGCCGUAAACGAUGUCGACUAGCCGUUGGGUCCCUCGCGGACUUUGUGGCGCAGUUAACGCGAUAAGUCGACCGCCUGGGGAGUACGGCCGCAAGGUUAAAACUCAAAUGAAUUGACGGGGGCCCGCACAAGCGGUGGAGCAUGUGGUUUAAUUCGAUGCAACGCGAAGAACCUUACCUACCCUUGACAUCCUCGGAAUCUGC